AGCGACAAGCUGGAGGAAGGUGGGGACGACGUCAAGUCAUCAUGGCCUUUAUGUCCAGGGCUACACACGUGCUACAAUGGGUGGUACAACGGGUCGCUAAGUCGCGAGACGGAGCUAAUCCCCCAAAGCCAUCCCUAGUUCGGAUUGCAGGCUGCAACUCGCCUGCAUGAAGCUGGAAUCGCUAGUAAUGGCGCAUCAGAACGGCGCCGUGAAUACGUUCCCGGGCCUUGUACACACCGCCCGUCACAUCACGAAAGUGGAUUGUACUAGAAAUCCGUGAGCUAACCUUCGGGAGGCAGCGGCUUACGGUAUGAUUCAUGAUUGGGGUGAAGUCGUAACAAGGUAGCCGUAGGAGAACCUGCGGCUGGAUCACCUCCUUU
rnacentral:rRNA from 1 species